rnacentral:rRNA from 1 species
GACAUUAGCUUGUUGGUAAGGUAACGGCUUACCAAGGCUGCGAUGUCUAGGGGGUCUGAGAGGACUAUCCCCCACACUGGUACUGAGACACGGACCAGACUCCUACGGGAGGCAGCAGUGAGGAAUAUUGCGCAAUGGAGGAAACUCUGACGCAGCCAUGCCGCGUGCAGGAAUAAGGCCCUAUGGGUUGUAAACUGCUUUUAUACGGGAAGAAAUAUAUCUACGUGUAGAUAUUUGACGGUACCGUACGAAUAAGGAUCGGCUAACUCCGUGCCAGCAGCCGCGGUAAUACGGAGGAUCCAAGCGUUAUCCGGAUUUAUUGGGUUUAAAGGGUCCGCAGGCGGGAAAUUAAGUCAGUGGUGAAAUCCUACAGCUUAACUGUACAACUGCCAUUGAUACUGGUUUUCUUGAGUACACCUGAAGUGGGGCGGAAUGUGUCAUGUAGCGG